rnacentral:rRNA from 1 species
CCUACGGGUGGCAGCAGUGAGGAAUAUUGGUCAAUGGGCGAGAGCCUGAACCAGCCAAGUCGCGUGAAGGAUGACGGCCCUACGGGUUGUAAACUUCUUUUGUCAGGGAGCAAUUGGGUCCACGCGUGGGCUUAGCGAGAGUACCUGAAGAAAAAGCAUCGGCUAACUCGGUGCCAGCAGCCGCGGUAAUACGGGGGAUGCGAGCUUUAGCCGGAUUUAUUGGGUUUAAAGGGUGCGUAGGCGUAAUAUCAAGUCAGCGGUAAAAAUUCGGGGCUCAACCCCGUAGUGCCGUUGAAACUGAUGUUCUUGAGUGGGCGAGAAGUAUGUGGAAUGCGUGGUGUAGCGGUGAAAUGCGUAGAUAGCACGCAGAACUCCGAUUGCGAAGGCAGCAUACCGGAGCGCAACUGACGCUGAAGCACGAAAGCGUGGGUAUCGAACAGGAUUAGAUACCCGUGUAGUC